rnacentral:rRNA from 1 species
CUUACCAGCGCUCGUAGUAGCUCCUGGGUAUUUGAUACCGGUGAGGUUGCUCAAAUUUGUAACUCAAAGCAGGAGCUGUGGAAUAAGCGGAGACUGGCGAAGGAUGAGGUGACAAUGCACGGUGGGAAUGGUUCCAAGGUCGAUGUGAUCUCCGUCGGCAUGCUACCUCUACAUCUACCUUCAGGAUUAGUUUUAAACCUCAAUAAUUGUUAUUUAGUGCCAGAUUUGAGCAUGAACAUUGUAUCUAGAUCUCGUUUAAUGCGAGAUGGCUACUCAUUUAAAUCCGAUAAUAAUGGUUGUUCUAUUUAUAUGAGAGAUACGCUUUAUGGUCAUGCCCCGUUGGUCAAUGGUUUAUUUUUAUUGAAUCUCGAACGUGAUGUUACACAUAUUCAUAGUGUGAAUGCCAAA